rnacentral:rRNA from 1 species
GACGAACGCUGGCGGCGUGCCUAACACAUGCAAGUCGAACGAAGAGCGAUGGACGCUUGCUUCUAUCAUUCUUAGUGGCGAACGGGUGAGUAACGCGUAAUCAACCUGCCCUCCAGAGGGGGACAACAGCUGGAAACGACUGCUAAUACCGCAUACGAUCUGACCUCGGUAUCGAGGCUAGAUGAAAGGUGGCCUCUAUUUAUAAGCCCUCACUGAAGGAGGGGCUUGCGCCUGAUUAGCUAGUUGGGGGGGUAACGGCCCACCGAGGCGAUGACCAGUAACCGGUCAGAAAGGAGGCACGGCCAAAUUGGGACGGAAACACGGCCCAGAAUCCUGGGGGAGGGAGCCGUCGGGGAUCUUCCGCGAUGGAAGAAAGGCUGAAGAAGGGACAACGGGCGAGAGCUGGAGGCAUUCAGGUUGUAAAGCUGUGGUAGUCGGGACGGAAGGCAUGCUUGCGAAUAGGUAGAAAGAUUGACGGUACCGGAAGAAAAAGCCACGGCUAACUACGUG